UAGGGGAGUCACGCUGGAAUGCCGACUCUCCCAAACGCUUACGCGCCGUAGGAUGUGGCUGCGGCCGAUUAGGUAGACGGUGGGGUAACGGCCCACCGUGCCGAUAAUCGGUACGGGUUGUGAGAGCAAGAGCCCGGAGACGGAAUCUGAGACAAGAUUCCGGGCCCUAUGGGGCGCAGCAGGCGCGAAACCUUUACACUGCACGCAAGUGCGAUAAGGGGACCCCAAGUGCGAGGGCAUAUAGUCCUCGCUUUUCCCGACUGUAAGGCGGUCGGGGAAUAAGAGCUGGGCAAGACCGGUGCCAGCCGCCGCGGUAAUACCGGCAGCUCAAGUGAUGACCGAUAUUAUUGGGCCUAAAGCGUCCGUAGCCGGCCACGAAGGUCUAUCGGGAAAUCCGCCAGCUUAACUGGCGGGCGUCCGGUGGAAACCACAUGGCUUGGGACCGGAAGGCUCGAGGGGUACGUCCGGGGUAGGAGUGAAAUCCCGUAAUCCUGGACGGACCACCGAUGGCGAAAGCACUUCGAGAAGACGGAUCCGACGGUGAGGGACGAAAGCUAGGGUCUCGAACCGGAUUAGAUACCCGGGUAGUCCUAGCUGUAAACGAUGCUCGCUAGGUGUGGCACAGGCUACGAGCCUGUGCUGUGCCGUA
rnacentral:rRNA from 1 species